rnacentral:rRNA from 1 species
AUUGAACGCUGGCGGCAGGCCUAACACAUGCCAGUCGAGCGGAUGAAGGGAGCUUGCUCCUGGAUUCAGCGGCGGACGGGUGAGUAAUGCCUAGGAAUCUGCCUGUUAGUGGGGGAUAACGUCCUGAAACGGGCGCUAAUACCGCAUACGUCCUGAGGGAGAAAGUGGGGGAUCUUCGGACCUCACGCUAUCAGAUGAGCCUAGGUCGGAUUAGCUAGUUGGUGGGGUAAAGGCCUACCAAGGCGACGAUCCGUAACUGGUCUGAGAGGAUGAUCAGUCACACUGGAACUGAGACACGGUCCAGACUCCUACGGGAGGCAGCAGUGGGGAAUAUUGGACAAUGGGCGAAAGCCUGAUCCAGCCAUGCCGCGUGUGUGAAGAAGGUCUUCGGAUUGUAAAGCACUUUAAGUUGGGAGGAAGGGCAGUAAGUUAAUACCUUGCUGUUUUGACGUUACCAACAGAAUAAGCACCGGCUAACUUCGUG